rnacentral:rRNA from 1 species
AGUGAACGCUGGCGGUAGGCCUAACACAUGCAAGUCGAACGGCAGCACAGUAAGAGCUUGCUCUUACGGGUGGCGAGUGGCGGACGGGUGAGGAAUACAUCGGAAUCUACUUUUUCGUGGGGGAUAACGUAGGGAAACUUACGCUAAUACCGCAUAUGACCUACGGGUGAAAGCAGGGGAUCUUCGGACCUUGCGCGAUUGAAUGAGCCGAUGUCGGAUUAGCUAGUUGGCGGGGUAAAGGCCCACCAAGGCGACGAUCCGUAGCUGGUCUGAGAGGAUGAACCGCCACACUGGAACUGAGGAACGGCCCAGACUCCUACGGGAAGAAGCAGUGGGGAAUAUUGGGGAAUGGAGGAAAGCCUGAUACAGCCAUACCGCGUGGGUGAAGAAGGACUUCGGGUUGUAAAGCCCUUUUGUUGGGAGAGAAAAACAGCAGGUUAAUACCCCGCUGUUAUGACGGUACCCAAAGAAUAAGCACCGGCUAACUUCGUG